rnacentral:misc_RNA from 1 species
AUUUAAACCUCCUAAGGUACUUAACUGACUUUCGAUGCUUCAAGUAAAUGGCUGGUAGUAUAUAUUCAUGGAGACAUUAUUUCCUCCUAUUCAAGCGGUUUUAGUUUUUAUUUUCUUUUUAAUUUCUUUUCUCUUUUUUUUAUACUGGCUUUCAUGUAUGGGAAAUUUUCUAAUUUAGUAUCUUUGCGUUUUUGGAUUAUCCAGUAUCACAAAUCUCUAAAGUUUUGAUAUCAUCUAAUUCAACAUUCUGUUAUGGAAAGCUUUUACUCCUCCCAAUCAUGAUAAUCAACUUGAAUUUGGUAGUUUUUUAUUUGAGUUAUGACCACUAUUAUUAAAGGCGUGCCUUAGGUUUGUUUAAAUUUGGAGAGUUGGUCAAAUUACAAUUUAAUUCAUUUUAAUUCGGGCUUAUAUAAGUGAUUAGAUUGCUUUACACAUCAAAAUGACUAAUCAAGUCAAUGUUGUAACCCAACCACUUAUAUAUUGCCAUUUUUACUUCAUAUUCUUUCAAUGUGAGAUUCUCAACAACUCUAGCCACAAGCUGUGUUCCACGCCGCUCCCUUUAAGAGAAACAAAGCGUUGUGUGUCCUCAACAGUUAAAAUUUUAAUUACAUUCUCAAAUGGGCAUAGAAGCAUUAAAGUCAAACAUUUGCUCAAAAAGAUGAUAUCUAAAGGCACAGAUGAAAAUUGAAUGUUAAAGAUUUGCGAAUAUUGGAUCCUUGCUCAUGAUCAAGUCAUUGUUGGAAGUUUAUUCACAUGAUAAUUUUUAGAUAGAAAAACCGAUAAAAGCUGAUGCAAGGAUUAGCGAUUACCUGGGCAUGUAUCAGUUGGUGUG